AGAGUUUGAUCAUGGCUCAGGGCGAACGCUAGCGGCGCGCCUAACACAUGCAAGUCGUGCGAGAAAGCCCCCUUCGGGGGGUGAGUAAAGCGGCGAACGGGUGAGUAACGCGUGGGUAACCUGCCCGGAGGUCUGGGAUAACCCUGCGAAAGCGGGGCUAAUACCGGAUAGUCUGGAUCCCACACAAGUGGGGUCUGGUAAAGGUGGCCUCUGCAUUGCAAGCUACCGCCUCCGGAGGGGCCUGCGUCCCAUUAGCUAGUUGGUGGGGUAAUGGCCUACCAAGGCGACGAUGGGUAGCCGGCCUGAGAGGGUGACCGGCCACACUGGGACUGAAACACGGCCCAGACUCCUACGGGAGGCAGCAGUGAGGAAUCUUGGGCAAUGGGCGAAAGCCUGACCCAGCGACGCCGCGUGGGGGAAGAAGGCCUUCGGGUCGUAAACCCCUGUCAGGAGGGAAGAAAGGGAUAGCCCCUAAUAAGGGUUAUCCUUGACAGUACCACCAGAGGAAGCACCGGCUAACUCCGUGCCAGCAGCCGCGGUAAUACGGAGGGUGCGAGCGUUACUCGGAAUUACUGGGCGUAAAGGGCGCGUAGGCGGGAAGGCAAGUUGAGCGUGUAAGCCUGAGGCUCAACCUCAGAAUGGCGCUCAAAACUGCCUUUCUUGAGUCCCGGAGAGGCCGGCGGAAUUCCCGGUGUAGGGGUGAAAUCCGUAGAUAUCGGGAGGAACACCGGUGGCGAAGGCGGCCGGCUGGACGGGUACUGACGCUGAGGCGCGAAAGCGUGGGGAGCAAACAGGAUUAGA
rnacentral:rRNA from 1 species